CAGCUGUAUUUUAUUUGUUUGUUCUGUGUUAUUUGCUUUUCUGUAUUGUUUGUAUCUUAUGGGUAGUGUCCCUUUAAGAGCAAAGCACGACAUCACUUUACGGCAGCGUUCCGACUGCAGUUACUAGGGAAACUCCCGGGCUUUAGAGUUUCAGAGCUGCUGCGGAGUAGAGACAUGCCAGUCUCUGCCGUCCUUCUGCAUAGCGCUUGACUUCUUUAUGCCUGAUAUAUGAUGUUUUCCUGCUAGAAAGGGACACUGGGAAGGUGCUCCUGUGCCUGCGGAGGAAGAGAGAGAGGCCGCGGAGUUUCUGUGUCUGUGGACAUCGGCUGCCGUCGUCAUUCUGGGUCGCCAUCCCAGCCAGGACAACCUCUUUCAUCGUUUUGUACGAAUCAGACACACACACAAAUAUAGAGCUCUAUAUGAACUAUUUUUUUUUGCUGGCCAGCUACUUUUAAUUAAAUUUUUUUCUUUUUACCAAGGACCCUGAAAGGAUUCUUUAUAAUCGAAGUAUUUUUUUUUUCUCUUUGUGGGUUUUUCCAGGAAAACUGUAUGACAGUGUUGAGACGAAGUUGGAUGUGUUUCAGUCCAGUAACUUGUAAUAAACAUAACUGGUUGAUAGUAAACUGCUAUCUGAA